rnacentral:pre_miRNA from 1 species
AACCUUCUGAGUCCAUACUGAGAUUUUGUUAGACACUAGAUCAUCAGGACUGAUGAGACUCCUAAGAUAAGUAAAGAG